GUGAAUCAUCGAAUUUUUGAGCGCAAAUUGCACUCUCCUCGUAGAGUAUGCCUGUUUGAGGGUCAGCCUAUAAAAAAUCGACAUCGUUGCUGUUUCGCGGUGGCGUUCGUCGGCAAUUGGGUCAUCUUAAAUCUUUUAGUUUUAAGCGACUUAAAAUUUUCUUUUUGGUUCCAUUAACGUUUCUAAGAUUUAUUUCUUUACACUUUUAAGGUAUCGAUUUUUAUUAUACGUGGCCGUCAUAUCGGAUCGCGUCCAUUAUUUUUCGCUAACUGACCUCAGACAGGUAAGAAU
rnacentral:misc_RNA from 1 species